rnacentral:rRNA from 1 species
GCUUACGGCCAUACCAACCUGGCGAUGCCCGAUCUCGUCUGAUCUCAGAAGCUAAGCAGGUUUGGGCCUGGUUAGUACUUGGAUGGGAGACCGCCUGGGAAUACCAGGUGCUGUAAGCU